AUUGAACGAUGGCGGCAGGCCUAACACAUGCAAGUCGAACGAGUGGCGGACGGGUGAGUAAUGGCUGGGAAACUGCCUGAUGGAGGGGGAUAACUAAUGGAAACGGUAGCUAAUACCGAAUACGAUCAGCUGUGGCCAGUUGGGAUUUGCUUGUUGGGGGGGGAACGGCUCACCAAGGCGACGAUCCCUAGCUGGGCUGAGAGGAUGACCAGCUACACUGGAACUGAGACACGGUCCAGACUCCUACGGGAGGCAGUAUUGGGGAAUAUUGCACAAUGGGCGCAAGCCUGAUGAAGCCAUGCCGCGUGUAUGAAGAAGGCCUUCGGGUUGUAAAGUACUUUCAGCGGGGAGGCGUUACCCGCAGAAGCAGCACCGGCUAACUCCGUGCCAGCAGCCGCGGUAAUUC
rnacentral:rRNA from 1 species